AUUAAGGAUGUUUAAACGCUUUCAAAAAUCAUGAUCAUUCAAUUAAGAAAAGGGGAUUGAACAGAUGGGUACUCUUGUAUGCCAAACUUGUAACUCUACUAUUGAUCAUUUUGAAGAUGAAAAAGUAACAGUGCUUUAUUCGAAGUGUAACUGUUGCGAUGACCAUCACAAUGCAGAAGAGAAAUAAAUUUU
rnacentral:sRNA from 1 species